CACGUAGGGCGCAAGCGUUGUCCGGAAUUAUUGGGCGUAAAGAGCUCGUAGGCGGUCUGUUGCGUCCGCUGUGAAAACCCAGGGCUUAACCCUGGGCUGGCAGUGGAUACGGACAGACUAGAGGUAGGUAGGGGAGAAUGGAAUUCCCGGUGUAGCGGUGAAAUGCGCAGAUAUCGGGAGGAACACCGGUGGCGAAGGCGGCGCACUGGUCCUCUUCUGACGCUGAGGCGCGAAAGCCAGGGGAGCAAACGGG
rnacentral:rRNA from 1 species